AGAAAAAGAAAAAAAAGAAGAGUUUUACAAGUUUCGGAUUGUUCUAUGUUGGACAUAGCGUACAAAGAUGACCUAAUGUUGCACUUUUCCUUGCUGAAAUCAAACAAGAGGUUGGAAACUUUAAGGAUGUUGGUCUAGAAGGAAUUCCCACAAAGAUGCCAUAUACCUCUAAGUGGAGAUUGUCUGUCGAUGGUCAUGGAUUAGCAGAAGGAAACAAUACAUUGGAUUCGCUUCUUAAGUACCUUCAUUAUUAAAAUCUCGGGAGUUUGAAGAUGAAGUGUCAGUAGAUUGUGGAAAAACAACUUCUGUCUUAUUUGCAUUGCUAUUUGAUUUUGCACUCCAAGUUGAUUUUUAUUUUUGAUCUGAUUGAUGUUGAGGUUUGAGGAUGUAUGCGGAAGUGUUUCAUAGUAGAUCAGGAUGGAUCUAAUGGGAAGCAGCCAGUUGUAAUGGAUAAAUCAAUGAAGCAAAGGUUUGUCUUGUCUGAUGAGGCAGCGUUUUGGUCCUUUCCAUAGCAUCUACUUGGGUAAGGGAGGUUGGACUUUGCUCCUCAGAAACUAAAAUUUUCUUGAAAACUCAUCUGCUGAAGAAAUAAAUGCUGUAGAAAUUGUACAAGACAAAACCAAUGUCCUUGUAGUGACUCUUGAAUCAAAGCAUAAAGAUGCUUAUGCAUUGUUGGGUGAUAUGACAGUUAAUAACUUACCAAAUAACUUCCACAUCUCAAAUUGUCUAGUGCUGUCCCUGAAGCAAUGGUGCAAGGAAAGCGGGUGCUUUUAGUGUGAUGAUGGAGAAAGAUUUGGAGCCAAACGAUUCUGGAAUGCUGAAAUGCCUCUGGUGAGUGGUGAUGCAGCCGACCAAGCCAAUGGCUUUGGAGGGCCAAGAUAAGAUUGGUAACGGGAUUAGUGAGGUGGAGGAGGCUGUAAUCUCAAAUGUUGGUGUUGUUUCUACAUUCAAUCCCUUUUAGUCAGUUCCUGUUUCAUUCUAUUGUGCAUACAAGGAACCAGGAAAAGGGCUUGUUGUUGAUGAAUUAAUAACUGGGUUAGCGCGGUUGACAUU